rnacentral:misc_RNA from 1 species
AAAGUCGUAACAAGGUAACCGUAGGUGAACCUGCGGUUGGAUCAUUAACAAAUUAAAUUAGGCCCCCAGCUGCCUCUAAACAGGGUGCUGGGGAAAACCUAAACAUUUGUGUGCACCAUAUCUGUCUUUGGCAGCCCGAGUGUCCCGGGUGCGUAACUGCCCCGGGUACCUACUGAGCCUGGCCCUUUGGCCAAGCAAGGUUGGGCUGCCGCCAUUUUGAACAAACUUUUUGUUUUUUAAUUGAUGUCUGAAAUUGUUUGAUCUUCACCGAUUGAAUUUUAAUACAACUUUUGACAACGGAUCUCUUGGCUCUC